rnacentral:rRNA from 1 species
UACGAAGGGGGCUAGCGUUGUCCGGAAUUAUUGGGCGUAAAGAGCUCGUAGGCGGUCUGUCGCGUCUGCUGUGAAACUCAGGGCUUAACCCUGAGCUUGCAGUGGGUACGGGCAGACUAGAGUGCGGUAGGGGAGAUUGGAAUUCCUGGUGUAGCGGUGGAAUGCGCAGAUAUCAGGAGGAACACCGAUGGCGAAGGCAGAUCUCUGGGCCGUAACUGACGCUGAGGAGCGAAAGCGUGGGGAGCGAACAGG